rnacentral:rRNA from 1 species
AGAGUUUGAUCCUGGCUCAGGACGAACGCUGGCGGCACGCUUAACACAUGCAAGUCGAACGAGAGAAGAGGAGCUUGCUUUUCUGAUCUAGUGGCGGACGGGUGAGUAACACGUGAGCAAUCUGCCUUUCAGAGGGGGAUACCGAUUGGAAACGAUCGUUAAUACCGCAUAACAUAAUUGAACCGCAUGAUUUGAUUAUCAAAGAUUUAUCGCUGAAAGAUGAGCUCGCGUCUGAUUAGCUAGUUGGUAAGGUAACGGCUUACCAAGGCGACGAUCAGUAGCCGGACUGAGAGGUUGAUCGGCCACAUUGGGACUGAGACACGGCCCAGACUCCUACGGGAGGCAGCAGUGGGGAAUAUUGCACAAUGGAGGAAACUCUGAUGCAGCGAUGCCGCGUGAGGGAAGAAGGUUUUAGGAUUGUAAACCUCUGUCUUCAGGGACGAAAAAAGACGGUACCUGAGGAGGAAGCUCCGGCUAACUACGUGCCAGCAGCCGCGGUAAUACGUAGGGAGCGAGCGUUGUCCGGAAUUACUGGGUGUAAAGGGAGCGUAGGCGGGAUCGCAAGUCAGAUGUGAAAACUAUGGGCUUAACCCAUAAACUGCAUUUGAAACUGUGGUUCUUGAGUGAAGUAGAGGUAAGCGGAAUUCCUAGUGUAGCGGUGAAAUGCGUAGAUAUUAGGAGGAACAUCAGUGGCGAAGGCGGCUUACUGGGCUUUAACUGACGCUGAGGCUCGAAAGCGUGGGGAGCAAACAGGAUUAGAUACCCUGGUAGUCCACGCCGUAAACGAUGAUUACUAGGUGUGGGGGGACUGACCCCUUCCGUGCCGCAGCAAACGCAAUAAGUAAUCCACCUGGGGAGUACGACCGCAAGGUUGAAACUCAAAGGAAUUGACGGGGGCCCGCACAAGCAGUGGAGUAUGUGGAUUAAUUCGAAGCAACGCGAAGAACCUUACCAGGUCUUGACAUCGUAUGCAUAGCUCAGAGAUGAGUGAAAUCUCUUCGGAGACAUAUAGACAGGUGGUGCAUGGUUGUCGUCAGCUCGUGUCGUGAGAUGUUGGGUUAAGUCCCGCAACGAGCGCAACCCCUGUUGCCAGUUGCCAGCAUUAGGUUGGGGACUCUGGCGAGACUGCCGGUGACAAGCCGGAGGAAGGCGGGGAUGACGUCAAAUCAUCAUGCCCCUUAUGACCUGGGCUACACACGUGCUACAAUGGACAGAGCAGAGGGAAGCGAAGCCGCGAGGUGGAGCGAAACCCAUAAAACUGUUCUCAGUUCGGACUGCAGUCUGCAACUCGACUGCACGAAGAUGGAAUCGCUAGUAAUCGCGAAUCAGCAUGUCGCGGUGAAUACGUUCUCGGGCCUUGUACACACCGCCCGUCACACCAUGAGAGUCGGUAACACCCGAAGCCGGUGGCCUAACCGCAAGGAAGGAGCUGUCUAAGGUGGGACUGAUGAUUGGGGUGAAGUCGAAACAAGGUA